CACUCGUGAACAAGACCCCGAGAUACUUAAACUCCUCCACUUGAGGCAAGAACUCGUUCCUGAGCCGGAGAUGGCACUCCACCCUUUUCCGGCUGAGGACCAUGGCCUCAGACUUAGAGGUGCUGUAUUCCACAACCAUUUGGCAAAUAGUUGCUGGAGGUUGCUGGCUUUUGCCAGAUGAAAUCAGUCACAAUAAAGGUACUACACCAAAACAGGGGGAAAAAAAGAAUAAUUAAAACCAGCCUCAACGCAUGAAUCUCAGAUGUUUGCUUUCCCCCAACCCCCCCCCCAGACUCGCAGGCAAACACAUGGUAAUGAGCUGAAAUGUUUCUAAUGGUAUUUUGGAGAUGUUCUCAUAAUGUAACUCAGCAGUUUUCAGCCAAAACUCAAAUGCUUGAUGAUACUUGGAGUUUAGAGAAAAAAAAAAAGCGCACAAACAGAAUUGCUUUCAAUCUUGACAUCAUCAUCCUGCCAUAAAGAGCCCCCACCCCUCAAGGCUGUGAGCAUCUGAUUAUUUCUUUUCUUUUUUUUUUUUUAUGUUCUCAAUGAACAUUUUUAUCUUGUCAAACUGCCCGCAGUCAAAAUUUCAGCUGCCUGUGGCGACUUACUCAAUUGUCACAUCCACA